rnacentral:rRNA from 1 species
UACCGGUAAAAUGCGCAGAAAUUUCUACCCACCCCCUCUGGGGCGAAGGCGACUCUCUGGUCUGUAACUGACGCUGAGGAGCUGAAAGCGUGGGGAGCGAACAGGAUUAGAUACCCUGGUACGCCACGCCGUAAACGUAUGAGUGCUAAGUGUUAGGGGGUUUCCGCUCCCUUAGUGCUGCAGCUAACGCAUUAAGCACUCCGCCUGGGGAGUACGGUCGCGAAGACUGAAACUCAAAGGAAUUGACGGGGGCCCGCACAAGCGGUGGAGCAUGUGGUUUAAUUCGAAGCAACGCGAAGAACCUUACCAGGUCUUGACAUCCUCUGACAAUCCUAGAGAUAGGACGUCCCUUCGGGGGCAGAGUGACAGGUGGUGCAUGGUUGUCGUCAGCUCGUGUCGUGAGAUGUUGGGUUAAGUCCCGCAACGAGCGCAACCCUUGAUCUUAGUUGCCAGCAUUCAGUUGGGCACUCUAAGGUGACUGCCGGUGACAAACCGGAGGAAGGUGGGGAUGACGUCAAAUCAUCAUGCCCCUUAUGACCUGGGCUACACACGUGCUACAAUGGACAGAACAAAGGGCAGCGAAACCGCGAGGUUAAGCCAAUCCCACAAAUCUGUUCUCAGUUCGGAUCGCAGUCUGCAACUCGCACUGCGUGAAGCUGGAAUCGCUAGUAAUCGCGGAUCAUGCAUGCCGCGGUGAAUACGUUCCCGGGCCUUGUACACACCGCUCCGUCACACCACGAGAGUUUGUAACACCCGAAGUCGGUGACGGUAACCUUUUAGGACUAGCCUCCAAGGUGACA